UUACCCUUCAUUUUUCUUCUUUUCUUUUUCUCUUCUUCUCAUUUUUCACUCUCUUGAUCCGAGUCUCACACCAAGGUCACAAUAAGGUAUUCCUCUGCCAUAAGUGAGGUUUUUCAAUAAAUUUGGGAGGAAGUCACUCGUGGA